AUCAAACCAACCGUGAGUCGGUCUGCUUUUUAUCCCUCUGAGCCUGCUCGUGUGCGUAACCACAGGGGGAUCCAAUCCUUCCGCUAGCUUGGCUGCAGGUGGCACAGACCUAACCCGAAUGAGCCGGAGAGUGGGGAUCCUUCACCGGUGUCGCUGGGCUUUGGGACACUUGCUUCUCCUGGACAGCUUCUCCUUGGUGCUCAGACCAGUCGUGCCACGAGGGACCGCGCUUUACAGGUUGUCAUCAGCCACGUGCAGCCCUCACGCAGGGCUAGAAGCAGGAAGGAACUCCCCUCGCCGGGUUCCCAGCCGGAAAAUGGCCAAGGGGGAGCGGGUGUCCGGGGUGCCUCUACGAACCGGAGAGAACAGCACCACUUUGCCCUUUUGGACCUCGGCCUUCCCCCAGGACCAACCCCGCAAUCUGACAAAGCGGCUUUGUGAACCCCGUGCCCCCCGGGGGAACUUUGGGCAGCUCCCCUGACAAAGAGAAUUCUGCCGGAUACAAGGAGACAUGGGCAACAGCAGAAGCCAGUCGGGGCCGAGGUUUUGUUCACAGUUUCUCCCCGCGGAGCAGGCCGAGAUCGAUGGGUUGUUUGACGCUCUGUCAUCGGAGAAGCAGCGCCCAGAUACCUCCCCCAGGUCCUUCUCUCUGAGGGCAGUAAAGAGUCACCUAGGGGAAGCCCUUCCCCCGGAGAUGGUCACAAGACUGUACGAUGGCAUGCGGAGCCUCGACCUGCCGGGGAAGGCGAAGGCGCCCAGCGAGAGCGUCUCCCGGGAGCAGUUCACAAUGUUCAUGUCCCACUUGCUAAAGGGAAGCUCCGAGGAGAAGAGUCUUGUGAUCAUGAAAAUGAUUUCUGCCACAGAAGGUCCCGUGAAAGCGAGAGAAGUCCAGAAGUUCACGGAGGAUCUGGUUGGCUCUGUAGUGCACGUGCUAAACUACAGACAGGAGCUGAGAGGCUGGACCCAGAAGAGGGGCCCGGGCCCCCCACCCGGGGUGCAGGUGCUGGCCGCCCAGCUCUUCUCCGAGAUGGAACUCCGAGGCAGCGAGGAGCUUCCGGGGCCUCAGCAGCUGGACCGUGACUGUGACCGAGCCGUGAUCGAGGACUGGGUGUUCAGGGCCCCCCACGUGGCCACGUUCCUGAGCGUGGUCAUCCACAGAGGCUUUCUCCUCCCGCGCUUGUCCCUCGAUCUGGCCCCCCUGGUCCCUGAGCGUCACGUGGACCAGGAGAGGGUGUUUGAGAGCAUCCUGGACGUGCCGUCGGUCAUCUACGUCAACGCCCACCUGCCCAGGGAGCGGCGGCACCGCUGGCACCUACUCUUCUCGUCUGAGCUCCACGGGCACAGCUUCGCCCAGCUCUGUGGGCGCAUCACCCACCAGGGCCCCUGCGUGCUGCUGCUCGAGGACCGUGAUGGCCACGUGUUCGGUGGGUUUGCGUCCUGCUCUUGGGAGGUCAAGCCUCAGUUUCAAGGGGACGACCGGUGCUUCCUGUUCUCCACCUCCCCCCGCAUGGCUGUGUAUACCUCCACGGGCUACAACGACCACUACAUGUACCUGAAUCACGGGCAGCAGACCAUCCCAAACGGCCUGGGCAUGGGCGGACAGCACAAUUACUUUGGGCUGUGGGUUGAUGUCGAUUUCGGGAAAGGACACAGCAAGGCCAAGCCCAAGUGCACCACGUACCACAGCCCUCAGCUGUCCGCCCAGGAGGACUUCCGGUUUGAGAAGAUGGAGGUGUGGGCAGUGGGCGAGGCGCCGGGCUCGCAGCAGGCCCAGAGGAACAGGAGCGUCCUGGCUGUGGACCCUGAGGCCCAGGCGCUGCUGGAGAUCAUCGGGCGCCCUCGCCACAGCCAAGGGCUCCGGGACGUCCCGGAGGAUGAGUGAGGAGCCCCCCGGGCUCGGGCCUCCCCAGAGCUGGAUCCCGGCGGCCCUGUGCAGGGCACAGCCUGCAGACCCCUCCCUCUGUCGCACGUGCUCAAGUUCAACACGGAGCCAUGCUGGUCACGUCCGGCACCACCCGGAACGCAGUAAAAUUCCUUUGCUGCCGUAUACGGAUUGGUCAGUGCCUCUCCCAGAAGUCCCGAGGGCCAGCAACCUGGUCCAUAUGUUGUUUCUUGCCGAGGCAAUCCGGGGACACAGACGCCGAGGCCUCUGCCGGGCAUUUGACGGGCACGGGCCUUCCUGCCGCGCAGGACGGGUUCCACGUGCCGGGGGCGCUUGGCCUCUGCUCAGGACCCUGCAGCCGAAACCGUGCCUUGAUGUUGCAUUUCAGCUGGUCAAGGGCAGAGGCAUUGGGGUGUGGGUCUCCGCGCUUUUGGGGAGCACCUUCCCCUGACAUGAAAUUUUUGUGUUGAUAAAGCAGCACAAACAGUGUGCUGGGGGGGGGGGGUGGGGAGAGCCAAAGACUCGGGAGAGAGAGCAGGUGUCCCCGUGCAACGGGUCCUCAGUGGUUGGCAGCUGGGCUCCACACCCGCCCUUCUCAGCUGGUUUUAAAGGGGCCUGUGCCAUGAUCUACGGAUCACUGCCAAGGUGUGGUUCUGUCACCGAUUUAAACGUGGGGAGGGCGGAAGCCCCGCCACGUCCCGUCGCAUAAACUGGUGGUGAGUCACUGGGAAGUACUGACCCGGGUUCCUGACCCUGGCACCGCCUCCUCGGUGUCGCCCCCUGGCCCAGAGUGGCUCCCAGAGGGGGGUGACGGGCCAUUCGAUAGCAGGGACUCACUUUGAACCAACUCAAGUGACCCCGGCUGCUAACUGCGAUCUCGGUGGGUGUCUGAGACGGGCCGGAGGAAACCAGCCGCACCGAGAGGUCCUUCCCUGAAGAGCUGUGGGCUCGCCUCCAGAACACGUAUCUCUUCCUCGCCUCUCUCUCCGUAGACUUUUCACUUUCUGCAGAUCUGACGAAGAACGUGACCCCUUAUGAUCGACAUCGCCGGAUUCUAAGCCAUCGUCAACUGAGCUGUGGGCAUUUUUCAGCUUCUACUUUUGCUGCCAGGAGGCUCCUCCAACUUUGCACUCGGCAGCUCCCCCCCGGCCGAGCGGAGGGCCUUGCAAACUAGAAGGCACGCGCGUGCCCGGCCAGCGCGCAGAGGGACAGCGGCCUGACACAGACUUAGUCACUGUUGAUUCUGCUUAAAAAAGCCGGCUUUUAAUAAGCUUCUCUGGUACGUUGUGUGCUGUUCUCAGCUGCUGGGAUCCCAGGCACAGGACGUUAGGAUCCUCAGAUCUGUCUGUACCUUAUUGAGAUCUGAUGGAUACAGGACUCUGUGCAAGUUUGAGAGGUAGGUACAUACAGCGUGUUGAAUGCAAUCGUUAACGAUUGUGUACCUGGAAAUGAGGAUAAUUUCCCUACUCUGCACUUUCUAGGCCUUUUAUUCUUUCUCUUAAUUGUAUCAGCAAAUUCUUUAAGAACUUCAGUAGCAGUGAUAGGCCCUCACCAUUCCUGACUUUGAUGGAAAUGCACCUGGCCUUUUACCGUGAAGCAGGGUGCUUUUCAGAUACAUUUCCACGUAAAGGAAGGAUCCAUCUGUAUUUACGUUAAAAGUUUCCGUCUAGAUGGUGAAUGUUAUAAAAAGGUUUUCCCUCUUAAAUAAGGAACCCAAAUCAGUAGGGCUCUAGCUGCUGAGCAGUGUUUGUAUUUAUUUUUUCUUUAAUUUUUUUAACGUUUUUAUUUAUUUUUGAGACAGAGGGAGACCGAGCAUGAGC